rnacentral:rRNA from 1 species
CCUACGGGUGGCAGCAGUGGGGGAUAUUGCACAAUGGGGGGAACCCUGAUGCAGCGACGCCGCGUGGGUGAAGGAGUGCUUCGGCAUGUAAAGCCCUAUCGGCAGGGAAGAAGCAAGACGGUACCUGACUAAGAAGCCCCGGCUAACUACGUGCCAGCAGCCGCGGUAAUACGUAGGGGGCGAGCGUUAUCCGGAUUCACGGGGUGUAAAGGGAGCGUAGACGGCCAGGCAAGCCAGGGGGGAAAGCCCGGGGCCCAAACCCGGGACUGCCCUUGUAACUGUGCGGCUAGAGUGCGGGAGGGGCAGGCGGAAUGCCUGGUGUAGCGGUGAAAUGCGUAGAUAUCAGGAGGAACACCGGCGGCGAAGGCGGCCUGCUGGACUGCGACUGACGUUGAGGCUCGAAAGCGUGGGGAGCGAACAGGAUUAGAUACCCCUGUAGUC